rnacentral:piRNA from 1 species
UGAAGUUCAAUGUCAGACAUGUUCCCUCUG